rnacentral:rRNA from 1 species
UCGGGAACUUUGGGCAAUGGGCGAAAGCCUGACCCAGCAACGCCGCGUGAGGGAUGAAGUAUUUCGGUAUGUAAACCUCGAAAGAAUGGGAAGAAUAAAUGACGGUACCGUUUAUAAGCUCCGGCUAACUACGUGCCAGCAGCCGCGGUAAUACGUAGGGAGCAAGCGUUGUUCGGAUUUACUGGGCGUAAAGGGCGCGUAGGCGGCGCGGUAAGUCACUUGUGAAAUCUCUGAGCUUAACUCAGAACGGCCAAGUGAUACUGCUGUGCUAGAGUGCGGAAGAGGCAACCGGAAUUCUUGGUGUAGCGGUGAAAUGCGUAGAUAUCAAGAGGAACACCUGAGGCGAAGGCGGGUUGCUGGGCCGACACUAACGCUGAUGCGCGAAAGCCAGGGGAGCAAACG